GUUCAGUGUAGCUGAGACACUGAACUAGCUGGAACAUAUACCAGAAAACUCUGACUGUUUAAUACAGUUGAAAUUGGCUUGCUGCCUCCUUGAAUGGUAACAGUUGAGUCACAGCCUGAACCACUGAUUGAGCACCUGGACAAAGGACCCAGUCAGCCUUGGGAAUACAGGUGAAGGCAAUUCAUGGUGUGACUAAAGGAGUGGAGCCUGGCUGCACCUCUCUAAGAGCUCAUUUUAAGGGCUGACUGUCAUGAAGGAAGGAUCUCUGGUUGCAGAUCCCUCCCUUGUAGAGUUUUCUGUGUGAGCCUAGAUCUUCAGAGUUGGUCUGAGUCAUUUGUGUCAGCACUCCAACUGGAAACAACACUGACCUUUCACAACCAGGCAACAUUCAAUAGCUGAGCUCCAGGAGGUCCAACUAAUAGUGGUGACCCAGGUGGCCCGGGAAGUCCAACGUCACCCUGUGGAAACCAGAGGAAU